AGAAUCAACGCUGGCGGCAUGCCUAACACAUGCAAGUCGAGCGAGAAAGGGUAGCAAUACCUGAGUAAAGCGGCGCACGGGUGAGUAACACGUGGAUAACCUGCCUCAAAGUGGGGAAUAACACCGGGAAACCGGUGCUAAUACCGCAUAUUCUGACGAGAUCUGUGGAUUUUGCCAGGAAAGGAGCAAUUCGCUAUGAGAGGGGUCCGCGGCUGAUUAGCUAGUUGGUGAGGUAACGGCUCACCAAGGCCACGAUCAGUAGCCGGUCUGAGAGGACGGUCGGCCACACUGGAACUGAGACACGGUCCAGACUCCUACGGGAGGCAGCAGUGGGAAUUUUUCGCAAUGGGGGCAACCCUGACGAAGCAAUGCCGCGUGGAUGAUGAAGUAUCUCGGUACGUAAAAUCCUUUCGACGGGGACGAAACCGCAAGGUUGACGGUACCGUAGAAGAAGCCCGGCUAACUCCGUGCCAGCAGCCGC
rnacentral:rRNA from 1 species